UAAUAGAUACCCUGGUAGUCCAUGCCGUAAACGUUGGGCACUAGGUGUGGGGCUCAUUCCACGAGUUCCGUGCCGCAGCAAACGCAUUAAGUGCCCCGCCUGGGGAGUACGGCCGCAAGGCUAAAACUCAAAGGAAUUGACGGGGGGCCCGCACAAGCGGCGGAGCAUGCGGAUUAAUUCGAUGCAACGCGAAGAACCUUACCAAGGCUUGACAUGCACGGGAAGCCACCAGAGAUGGUGGUCUCUUUGGACACUCGUGCACAGGUGGUGCAUGGUUGUCGUCAGCUCGUGUCGUGAGAUGUUGGGUUAAGUCCCGCAACGAGCGCAACCCUCGUCCCAUGUUGCCAGCGGGUUAUGCCGGGGACUCAUGGGAGACUGCCGGGGUCAACUCGGAGGAAGGUGGGGAUGACGUCAAAUCAUCAUGCCCCUUAUGUCUUGGGCUUCACGCAUGCUACAAUGGCCGGUACAAAGGGCUGCGAUACCGUAAGGUGGAGCGAAUCCCAAAAAGCCGGUCUCAGUUCGGAUUGGGGUCG
rnacentral:rRNA from 1 species